GACGAACGCUGGCGGCGUGCUUAACACAUGCAAGUCGAACGGAAAGGCCCCUGUUGGUGUACUCGAGUGGCGAACGGGUGAGUAACACGUGAGUAACCUGCCCUUGACUUCGGGAUAACUUCAGGAAACUGGGGCUAAUACCGGAUAGGAAUCCUUGCUGCAUGGUGGGGGUGGGAAAGCUUCGGCGGUUUUGGGUGGACUCGCGGCUUAUCAGCUUGUUGGUGGGGUUGUGGCUUACCAAGGCUUGGACGGGUAGCAGGCCUGAGAGGGCGACCGGCCACAGUGGGACUGAGAUACGGCCCAGACCCCUACGGGAGGCAGAAGUGGGGAAGAUUGAACAAGGGGCGGAAGCCAGAUGCAGAAACGCCGCGGGCGGGAUGACGGCCUUCGGGUUGGAAACCGAUUUCAGCAGGGGCGAAGCUUGUGGUGACGGUACCUGCAGAAGAAGCACCGGCUAACUACGUG
rnacentral:rRNA from 1 species